AGAGUUUGAUCCUGGCUCAGGAUGAACGCUGGCGGCGUGCCUAACACAUGCAAGUCGAGCGAAGCAUUUAACAUGAAGUUUUCGGACGGAAUGUUAUCUGACUGAGCGGCGGACGGGUGAGUAACGCGUGGGUAACCUGCCUUAUACAGGGGGAUAACAGUCAGAAAUGACUGCUAAUACCGCAUAAGCGCACAGUACCGCAUGGUAGUGUGUGAAAAACUCCGGUGGUAUAAGAUGGACCCGCGUCUGAUUAGCCAGUUGGCGGGGUAACGGCCCACCAAAGCGACGAUCAGUAGCCGACCUGAGAGGGUGACCGGCCACAUUGGGACUGAGACACGGCCCAAACUCCUACGGGAGGCAGCAGUGGGGAAUAUUGCACAAUGGGGGAAACCCUGAUGCAGCAACGCCGCGUGAGUGAAGAAGUAUUUCGGUAUGUAAAGCUCUAUCAGCAGGGAAGAAGAUGACGGUACCUGAUUAAGAAGCCCCGGCUAACUACGUGCCAGCAGCCGCG
rnacentral:rRNA from 1 species